rnacentral:misc_RNA from 1 species
UGUUCAGUAUGGAAUCUCAGGGUCGCCAAUGAGUUAUCAGGCAAUUGGUUAUUCUCUUGUUUAUAAUCAACUUUAUACUUUUGAAGGGGCACAAAAUUACACUUCCGGCAUUAUACACCAUGUUCGCCUUACAGGACUGGAACCGGGAACAUUGUAUCAAUAUCAAUGCGGAGAUCCUUCUAUACCAGCAACGAGUGAUAUCUUUUAUUUUAGAACCAUGCCAGUCUCCAGUCCAACAGAUUACCCCGGCAGAAUAGCUAUGGUGGGAGACCUAGGUCUUACUUACAAUACAAGUACAACAUUCAGUCACUUGCUCAGUAAUCAUCCUGAUCUACUCGUUUUGGUUGGGGGUGUUAGUUAUGCUGACAUGUAUCUCACCAAUGGAACCGGGUCUGAUUGUUACUCUUGCUCAUUUCCUCAAACUUCCAUCCAUGAAUCAUAUCAGCGCC